rnacentral:rRNA from 1 species
AUUGAACGCUGGCGGCAUGCCUUACACAUGCAAGUCGAACGGCAGCGGGCCUUCGGGUGCCGGCGAGUGGCGAACGGGUGAGUAAUGCAUCGGAACGUGCCAUUGAGUGGGGGAUAACGUAGCGAAAGUUACGCUAAUACCGCAUAUUCUGUGAGCAGGAAAGCAGGGGACCGCAAGGUCUUGCGCUCUUUGAGCGGCCGAUGUCAGAUUAGCUAGUUGGUGAGGUAAAGGCUCACCAAGGCGACGAUCCGUAGCGGGUCUGAGAGGAUGAUCCGCCACACUGGGACUGAGACACGGCCCAGACUCCUACGGGAGGCAGCAGUGGGGAAUUUUGGACAAUGGGCGCAAGCCUGAUCCAGCCAUGCCGCGUGAGUGAAGAAGGCCU